rnacentral:tRNA from 1 species
GGCCCGUUGGUCUAGGGGUAUGAUUCUCGCUUUGGGUGCGAGAGGUCCCGGGCUCAAAUCCCGGACGGGCCC